rnacentral:rRNA from 1 species
AACGUAGGUGGCAAGCGUUAUCCGGAUUUACUGGGCGUAAAGCAUGUGCAGACGGGUUGGUAAGUGGUGUAUGAAAGCGUUCGGCUUAACCGAGCGAGCGUAUGCCAGACUGCCAGUCUUGAGAGUGGGAGAGGGAUGUGGAAUUCCGGGUGUAGUGGUGAAAUGCGUAGAGAUCCGGAGGAACCCCAGAGGCGAAGGCGGCGUCCUGGCCCAUUUCUGACGUUCAGACAUGACAGCAUGGGGAGCGAACGGG